CAAUAGCAUAUAUUAAAGUUGUUGCAGUUAAAAGCUCGUAGUUGGAUUUCUGGCAUGAUGCGCCUGGCCCGCCUCAAUUCUGAGUGUGUGUGCGAGUGCGCGUCUGCCAUCCAUUUGCAGAAUGUGCCUACUCUUCAUUGAGCCGGGUACGUGAUGUAAAUCUUUUACUUUGAAAAAUUAGAGUGUUUAAAGCAGGCAUUUGCUAUGAAUACAUUAGCAUGGAAUAAUAAUCUAGGACUUCGGUUCUAUUUUGUUGGUUUCUAGAUCUGAAGUAAUGAUUGAUAGGGAUAGUUGGGGGUGCUAGUAUUAAGGGGCCAGAGGUGAAAUUCUUGGAUUUAUGGAAGACGAACUACUGCGAAAGCAUUUACCAAGGAUGUUUUCAUUAAUCAAGAACGAAAGUUAGGGGAUCGAAGAUGAUUAGAU
rnacentral:rRNA from 1 species